UACGGGGGGAGCAAGCGUUGUUCGGAUUUACUGGGCGUAAAGGGCGCGUAGGCGGCCACCGCAAGUCGACUGUGAAAUCUCCGGGCUUAACUCGGAAAGGUCAGCCGAUACUGCGGGGCUAGAGUGCAGAAGGGGCAACUGGAAUUCUCGGUGUAGCGGUGAAAUGCGUAGAUAUCGAGAGGAACACCUGCGGCGAAGGCUGCUUCCUGGCCUGUUCUUGACGCUGAGGCGCGAAAGCUGGGGGAGUAAACGGG
rnacentral:rRNA from 1 species